rnacentral:rRNA from 1 species
GGGGAAUAUUGGACAAUGGGCGCAAGCCUGAUCCAGCCACGCCGCGUGAGUGAUGAAGGCCUUCGGGUUGUAAAGCUCUGUGGGAUGGGACGAAAAAAGCGGAGGCGAAUAGGCUCUGCUCUUGACGGUACCGUCUUAGCAAGCACCGGCUAACUCUGUGCCAGCAGCCGCGGUAAGACAGAGGGUGCAAACGUUGCUCGGAAUUACUGGGCGUAAAGCGCGUGUAGGCUGACUCGUGUGUCGGGUGUGAAAUCCCUGGGCUCAACCCAGGAACUGCAUCCGAAACUGCGAGUCUGGAGUAUCGGAGAGGGAAGCGGAAUUGCUGGUGUAGGGGUGAAAUCCGUAGAUAUCAGCAGGAACAUCUGUGGCGAAGGCGGCUUCCUGGACGAUUACUGACGCUGAGACGCGAAAGCGUGGGGAGCAAAC